UACGUAGGGUGCGAGCGUUAAUCGGAAUUACUGGGCGUAAAGCGUGCGCAGGCGGUUCGUUGAGUCGGCGGUGAAAGCCCCGGGCUUAACCUGGGAAUGGCCGUUGAAACUGGCGAACUGGAGUGUGGCAGAGGGGGGUGGAAUUCCGCGUGUAGCGGUGAAAUGCGUAGAUAUUGGGAGGAACACCAGUGGCGAAGGCGGCUCACUGGACCGGUUCUGACGCUGAGGUGCGAAAGCGUGGGGAGCAAACAGG
rnacentral:rRNA from 1 species